AUUUUAACCAUCAUUUCAUAGAUAAACAUCUAGAAGCAAAGCUUAGAGCUUUUCUAAGUGAAAUUCUCCAAAAUUAUUUCCUAAAGAAUCUUUCAGUGAGCAAUUUAUUUAAUGAGACAGAUGCUAUGGCUCUCCAUGCCAGCAUGUCCCCCGCAAGAAGCAAGAGUGAGCUAGGGCAAGACAUUGCAGAUGGAAAUUUUGGUCCAAGCCUAAAAAUAAACAUGAAAUACCCUGUAAGCAAAUCUCUACAAAAUUAUCUUCAAGAUUUAUCAGAAAGUGAAUUAUUAAGUCUAAAGGCUGAUUUGAGCAAAUACCUCCAGGUCCUCUUUUUAGAAAAACUUUAUAAGUCAGGAUUGAUGACAGAAAGGCAACUAAAGGGGAUAAGCCAGGAAAUUAUCUCACUCCAUUCGCCUCCUAUACCAUUAAAACACUUAAAAACAAAUUUAGCUUUUAGAAAUGAAAGUUACUUUAUGAGAGAGGAUUCAGAAGAGCAAAAGAAAUAUUCAAAAAAUGGUCAAAAUACAGCUUUACAAGCAUUGCUCAAAGGUAAAUGUGGAGAAACAGAACUGUCCAGAAAGGAAGAAAAGGAAAGUUCUUUCUCACAAAAUUUAAAAGAAAACCUACCAACAAUUUGGGAACAGAAAACUAUUUAUUGCAAGGAAGAAGAAAGACUAAAUUUAAUAGAAAUACGAUCUUCCCUCAACAAAAAUAACCAGGCAAAUUCACUAACUAGGUCACCAGAAAGACCUUCAGACACAUCACUUAAGAAACAAAAGAAAGAUCAUGGUUUCAUGCAAUUUACUCAAGUAGAAAGUUCUGCCUACAAAACAGAGAUUCAAGAUCCAUACAGUUGGGAUGGUAGAUCAAAAACAAUUCAAUCAAAACCUUGCUUUGAAAAGACAGGGCAAAUGAAGCAAGUUGACAAAAGGGAGAACAAUAAUGUUUAUAAAUCGACUGCUCAAGAAAAACUUGAUACAGAAUUUUCAUCUUAUCUAAAGCUCCCUAACUGCAAAGUAUCAAAAGAAAAUGAAUCCACAAGCAGGCUCUCCUUCCCUACGUGGCAGACUAACGCCUUCAUUCAUGUCAAACCAGAGAUUGGGGAGCAAUCUAAAUUAGACCACUAUUAUCAGAGACUGAAAGGAAAUAAUAACAACAAUAAAAAACACUUGGUUACAUUUGCACAAUUCAAAGACGAAAUGGAAACUCUUUAUAAAAACCCAUAUGAAGCUUGCAAUGAAAAACGUGCCAAGAUCUCUGAAUCACAGUCCUUUAAAUAUAAAGAACAUGAGAAAAACUCAAGGCCAUUCUUC
rnacentral:lncRNA from 1 species